UCUUGGUCAAACCUUUGUUGACAAUCUUGUUAUACGAAUUGCCCCUCCUUUUUUGAGUGACUUGAGCUGUGAUGGAUGGUCCUAACGGUUUGUCCUCGCGCUUGAGAUAUAUCUCAAAGUCAAUCAGCUUGUCGAAAAGUUCUUCGAAUGUGAUUGGUGAAUCACCCGCCCGUAUUGCUACUGCCAAUUCCUUGUACUCGUCUCCGAGGCCAUUGAGGAUAUGAACAGUAACUUCUUCAUCACUGAGGGAAUGACCUACCAAGGCCAAG
rnacentral:lncRNA from 1 species